GGAAGGGCAAGCGUUGUUCGGAAUUAUUGGGCGUAAUGGGCGCGUAGGUGGUUCUGUAUGUCUACCGUGAAAGCGUACGGCUCAACCGUAUUUUGUCGGUAGAAACUGCAGGACUUGAGGCUGGGAGGGGCUGGUGGAAUUCCCUGUGUAGCGGUGAAAUGCGUAGAGAUGGGGGAGAACACUCGUGGCGAAGGCGGCCAGCUAGACCAGUUCUGACACUGAGGCGCGACAGCGUGGGGAGCAAACAGGAUUAGAUACCCUGGUAGUCCACGCUGUAAACGAUGGGCACUAGGUGCCGGCGGUCUUGAUCCCGUCGGUGCCGGCGCUAACGCAGUAAGUGCCCCGCCUGGGGAGUACGGUCGCAAGGCUG
rnacentral:rRNA from 1 species